UACGGAGCGCGGCAGGCGCGAUGCUUUACAAUGCAGGGAACUGUGAUAAGGGAACCCCGAGUGCCCGUAUAUGCGGGCUGUCCGGAUGUUUAAAACGCAUCCGAAGAAAGGGCCGGGCAAGACCGGUGCCAGCCGCCGCGGUAAUACCGGCGGCUCGAGUGGUGGCCACUUUUAUUGGGCUUAAAGCGUUCGUAGCUUGAAUAAUAAGUCUCUUGGGAAAUCUGCAGGCUUAACCUGCAGGCGUUUAAGAGAAACUGUUGUUCUAGGAACCGGAAGAGGUGAGAGGUACUCCGGGGGUAGGAGUGAAAUCCUGUAAUCCCCGGGGGACCACCGAUGGCGAAGGCAUCUCACCAGGACGGCUUCGACAGUGAGGAACGAAAGCUGGGGGAGCGAACCGGAUUAGAUACCCGGGUAGUCCCAGCCGUAAACAAUGCGCGUUAGGUGAC
rnacentral:rRNA from 1 species